UGUGAGGGUGAUCUGACUGCUACAUGCCACCCCACCGAUCGAUUGAUCGCCAGGGUUGAUUCAGCCGAUUUAACUGGCUAGGUGUGCGUCCCUUUCCUCUCUCACUUUCUCCAUGUGUGUCCCUCCCAAAGCUGUUGGCUCCAUUGAAGAAGAUAACCUUCCCCGAGCAGAGGAGGACUUGUCUUUGGUCCAGGGUCCCCUUGUAGUUGUGCCUCCAUGAUAGAACCUCCAAACAAGCUCUCAGGUAAAGGUGUAAAUAUGCAAUGAGAAGCAAAAUAUCUCUCCAGUUGUCUAUGAUUUAGGGCUUACCUUAAGGAAACCCUGGAAGU
rfam:Cricetulus griseus cell line CHO-K1, whole genome shotgun sequence.